GACGAACGCUGGCGGCGUGCCUAAUACAUGCAAGUUGAGCGCUGAAGGUUGGUACUUGUACCGACUGGAUGAGCAGCGAACGGGUGAGUAACGCGUGGGGAAUCUGCCUUUGAGCGGGGGACAACAUUUGGAAACGAAUGCUAAUACCGCAUAAAAACUUUAAACACAAGUUUUAAGUUUGAAAGAUGCAAUUGCAUCACUCAAAGAUGAUCCCGCGUUGUAUUAGCUAGUUGGUGAGGUAAAGGCUCACCAAGGCGACGAUACAUAGCCGACCUGAGAGGGUGAUCGGCCACAUUGGGACUGAGACACGGCCCAAACUCCUACGGGAGGCAGCAGUAGGGAAUCUUCGGCAAUGGACGAAAGUCUGACCGAGCAACGCCGCGUGAGUGAAGAAGGUUUUCGGAUCGUAAAACUCUGUUGGUAGAGAAGAACGUUGGUGAGAGUGGAAAGCUCAUCAAGUGACGGUAACUACCCAGAAAGGGACGGCUAACUACGUG
rnacentral:rRNA from 1 species